rnacentral:RNase_P_RNA from 1 species
AAUGGCCGGUGGGCCGCUCACGGGGGGAAUUUCUCUCCUGAGGAAGUUCUGCCCACGGCAUACAAAACGCGCCUCGCGCCUCAUACGCGCGGGAUGGGGAACAGAAACGGACCGGCGCACCCUCGCCAACAUAUGACCCUUGCGGGGAUGGAGGGGGCGGCCGGCUGAAACGGUCCUAUCCACUGGCGCGGCCGUGCAAGGCGCUUUCGCGCCGCUCAGUCGAAUGCGGCCUUCGCCAACUAAAUGGUUGGCGAUACACGAGGAGGGCGACAGCCCGACUCGGGGUACAAAACAAAAGGCAGACUACGGCCGGCCAUU